rnacentral:rRNA from 1 species
UACGUAGGGUGCAAGCGUUGUCCGGAAUUAUUGGGCGUAAAGAGCUCGUAGGCGGUUUGUCGCGUCUGCUGUGAAAACUCGGGGCUCAACUCCGAGCUUGCAGUGGGUACGGGCAGACUAGAGUGCGGUAGGGGAGACUGGAAUUCCUGGUGUAGCGGUGGAAUGCGCAGAUAUCAGGAGGAACACCGGUGGCGAAGGCGGGUCUCUGGGCCGUAACUGACGCUGAUGCACGAAAGCUAGGGGAGCAAACAGG